GAUGAACGCUGGCGGCGUGCCUAAUACAUGCAAGUCGAGCGAACAGACGAUGCGCUUGCGCCGUUGACGUGAGCGGCGGGCGGGUGAGUAACACGUGUAUAACCUACCUGUCAUAGUGGUAAAACUACGGGACUGCGGCUCUAAUAGGGUAUGAGCUAUUGAACCGCGGGGGGGGUUGGAAAGAGACGGUGGUGGUGUAUCGUAUCGCGGGAUAUGCGCCGUAUUGGCUGGUUGGUCCGGUAACGGGUUACUAAGGCAACGAGGCGUAGCCGACCUGUGGGGGGGAUCGGCCGCAUGGGAGCGGAGACACGGUCCAGACUCCUGCGGGAGGCAGCAGUAGGGAAUCUUCCGCAAUGGGCGGAAGCCUGACGCAGCAACGCCGCGUGAGUGACGAAGGUCUUCGGUUCGUAAAACUCUCUUACUGGGGAAGAACAAAUGUCUAAGUAACUAUGCCCGUCUUGACGGUACCUAAUCAGAAAGCCCCGGCUAACUACGUG
rnacentral:rRNA from 1 species